rnacentral:rRNA from 1 species
AGGACGAACGCUGGCGGCGUGCUUAACACAUGCAAGUCGAGCGGAAAGGCCCUUCGGGGUACUCGAGCGGCGAACGGGUGAGUAACACGUGGGCAACCUGCCCCUAGCUCUGGGAUAACUCCGGGAAACCGGUGCUAAUACCGGAUAUGACCUCAUUAGGCAUCCUUUGAGGUGGAAAGAUUUAUUGGCUAGGGAUGGGCCCGCGGCCUAUCAGCUUGUUGGUGGGGUAAUGGCCUACCAAGGCGACGACGGGUA